CAAGAAAUAGUUUAUGAAGAACGUUAAUUUUGGAGAUUAAGAGUAUAAUAAGUUAUUUAUUUUUUUGA
rnacentral:tRNA from 1 species